CCUACGGGAGGCAGCAGUAGGGAAUCUUGCGCAAUGGGCGAAAGCCUGACGCAGCCAUGCCGCGUGAAUGAUGAAGGUCUUAGGAUUGUAAAAUUCUUUCACCGGGGACGAUAAUGACGGUACCCGGAGAAGAAGCCCCGGCUAACUUCGUGCCAGCAGCCGCGGUAAUACGAAGGGGGCUAGCGUUGCUCGGAAUUACUGGGCGUAAAGGGAGCGUAGGCGGAUAGUUUAGUCAGAGGUGAAAGCCCAGGGCUCAACCUUGGAACUGCCUUUGAUACUGGCUAUCUUGAGUAUGGGAGAGGUGAGUGGAACUCCGAGUGUAGAGGUGAAAUUCGUAGAUAUUCGGAAGAACACCAGUGGCGAAAGGCGACUCACUGGCCCAUUACUGACGCUGAGGCUCGAAAGCGUGGGGAGCAAACAGGAUUAGAUACCCUGGUAGUCCACGCCGUAAACGAUGAGUGCUAAGUUGUCGGCAUGCAUGCAUGUCGGUGACGCAGCUAAACGCAUUAAAGCACUCCGCCUGGGGAGUACGGUCGCAAGAAUUAAAACUUAAAUUGAAAUUGACGG
rnacentral:rRNA from 1 species